UACGUAGAGUGCGAGCGUUGUCCGGAAUUACUGGGCGUAAAGCGCGUGUAGGCGGCCCUGCAAGUCGGGCGUGAAAUCCCAUGGCUCAACCAUGGAAGUGCACUCGAAACUGCAGGGCUGGAGUCCUGGAGAGGAAGGUGGAAUGCUUGGUGUAGAGGUGAAAUUCGUAGAUAUCAAGCGGAACACCGGUGGCGAAGGCGGCCUUCUGGACAGUGACUGACGCUGAGGCGCGAAAGCUAGGGGAGCAAACGGG
rnacentral:rRNA from 1 species